rnacentral:rRNA from 1 species
CCUGCCCCAAACUGGGGGAUAGCCCGGCGAAAGCUGGGGUAAACCCACAUAGUCUUCGUUGAUGGCAUCAUCUGAGGGAGUAAAGGCUUCGGCUGGUUUGGGAGGGAUUUGCGUCUGAUUAGCUAGUUGGGGGGGUAGUGGCCCACCAAGGCGAUGAUCAGUCGGGGCUCUGAGAGGAGGGUCCCCCACAUGGGCACUGAGACACGGGCCCAACUCCUACGGGAGGCAGCAGUAGGGAAUAUUGGGCAAUGGACUGACGUCUGAUCCUUCCAUGCCGCGU